AUAUCUCAAAUGAGAUAUCAAACAAUUUGCAGAAGUAGUAGUAUUAACAUUUAGAAGAUAACUUUGUUUCCCAGAUUGAUUGUCAAUGGCGGAUCUUCUCUCGAACUGGUCAAGCACAUUAGAAGCAGUUCCUAAAAGUCAUUGCAUCCCAGAGCAUGAAAGACCAUCAGAUCCAGUUGAAAUUGGCGACAGUAUUCCAGUCAUUGAUUUGGGAAAAGCUAGUGGUGAAGAACGAAAUGUUGUUGUUAAAGAUCUGUUGAAAGCUUUUGAAGAAUAUGGGUUUUUUCAGAUAAUCAAUCAUGGAGUACCUGUAGAUCUAAUGGAUGAAGCAAUGAAAGUGUACAAAGAAUUUUUCAGUCUUCCAGCUGAAGAAAAAGAAAAUUAUGCA
rnacentral:misc_RNA from 1 species